rnacentral:rRNA from 1 species
AAACCAACAGGGAUUGCUCUAGUAACGGCGAGUGAAGCAGCAAAAGCUCAAAUUUGAAAUCUGCCUUUUGGCCGAGUUGUAAUUUGAAGAUGGUAACUUUGGGAAUGCUCUUGUUCAAGUUCCUUGGAAUAGGACAUCAUGGAGGGUGAGAAUCCCGUGAGACGAGAAUCACAUUCCUGUGUAAAGUGCCUUCUAAGAGUCGAGUUGUUUGGGAAUGCAGCUCCAAGUGGGUGGUAAAUUCCAUCUAAAGCUAAAUAUUGGCGAGAGACCGAUAGCGAACAAGUACAUUGAUGGAAAGAUGAAAAGAACUUUGAAAAGAGAGUGAAAUAGUACGUGAAAUUGUUGAAAUGGAAGGGCUUGAGGUUAGACAUGGUAGUUUUGUUCCACGUACCUUUGGGUGCGUGUACUCAUUGCUGCUGGGCCAACAUCAGUUUUGGGAGGAGGAUAAAGCGUUGGACGGUUACCUCGGUUUCCGCCGGCGUAAUACUCUUAUCCGGGACUGAGGCAUGCCUUUGUAGGAUGUUGGCGUAAUGGCCUCAAGCCAC